CACUUUCAUUUAUCUUCCUGUCUCCCCCUCUCAUUUCCUCUAUCGCUCUUGUCUCUCCAGUCUGUUCCUUGUGUGGCUCUCUGACUCCUCUCAUUUCCUCUCUCGCUCUGCUCUCUCCAGUCUCUUCCUUGCUCUCACGCGCACAACAGCAGGAGGGCGGGAGGGAGUGCUGCUUCAUCCAUCACCGAAUCGGGCGCCGCCUGCUCACAUUGGAAGCAGGGGAUGGCCCUGGACAUUGCCGAUUGUUCCUGUAAUCAAUUACUCCUUGGGAGGUACGAGGCACACAACCAAGUGCAGCUGAACACCAACAUUGCAAGUGUUGAUUCAGAGAGUUGUUAAAAGGCAUUCCCAUCGUAGUGCUGCUGUCAACUUCUAAAUGGAGAACCAAUCAACUUGUCUCCAUGUUCUUGUUUUGAUGCUCUUGGGAUCCGAGGUGGUGCGCAAGUUGUCUUUAGACAUGCCGACUCGAGCUCUUCAACCCAAUGCUUUUGUACGGGAGGACAUUCCAGUUGCUCGGGACAUUUUCACCUAUCUUUAUUGAAGAAGGUCCUCAGUCUUCUCUGAUUCUAGGGUGGUAACCUUCUAAAGAUUUGAGCAUUCUUUUAAUGUUGUCUGUUUGUGCUUCGGGACGGUUGGUGGGAUCUGCUAAUGUUCCAGAUUACCGUAUUGCUGUUGACCAGCUCGCAGUUAUGCAUUCAUCCGAUGCCCUAAUGAUGUUGCUGCUUAGUCUUUGAGGGCUACGAAUGUUACUGUUGGCAGCUUUCAAGUUCUUCUUUGACUUGGUUAAAAGUGUUGAGAUGAUGCCUUUCUAUGAUGACAUCAACCAGCACCCAAGAGUCUGCAUAUGGAUUGAAGAUCAGGGUGGCUCUUCUUCUAUUUUGGAUGGCAAUUUGCUUGGUGCGAAAUUCUGGUCAUUUUCUGUUGACAUCUUUUGAUGGGCUUUGUCAUAUGAACAUGCUUGACGUUCUCAUGUUUUCUUAUCUUUUUCUUGUAUGAAACAGUAAGGAGAGAGCAGCACCUAAGGGCUUUGUCAUAUUUGGGUUGUUAAUAUAUGUUUGGGCUUUGCUCCUUGUAAUUUGAAUUCAACACUUACAAAACAUAGCGAAGCCCACUUAUAAUCA